rnacentral:rRNA from 1 species
AACGAACGCUGGCGGCAGGCCUAACACAUGCAAGUCGAGCGAGGACUUCGGUCCUAGCGGCGGACGGGUGAGUAACGCGUGGGAACGUGCCCUUUGCUUCGGAAUAGCCCUGGGAAACUGGGAGUAAUACCGGAUGAGCCCUUUGGGGGAAAGAUUUAUCGGCGAAGGAUCGGCCCGCGUCGGAUUAGGUAGUUGGUGGGGUAAUGGCCUACCAAGCCGACGAUCCAUAGCUGGUUUGAGAGGAUGAUCAGCCACACUGGGACUGAGACACGGCCCAGACUCCUACGGGAGGCAGCAGUGGGGAAUCUUAGACAAUGGGGGAAACCCUGAUCUAGCCAUGCCGCGUGAGCGAUGAAGGCCUUAGGGUUGUAAAGCUCUUUCAGCUGGGAAGAUAAUGACGUUACCAGCAGAAGAAGCCCCGGCUAACUCCGUG